GUUCUUGUUUCAACAGUACGUAUAUUAAUAUUGGAAUGAUCAGGAGAUUAGGAUGGACCCUGUGCAAGGAUGGCACAGGAUUUCAUGGAACACUCCAUCUUUCC